rnacentral:rRNA from 1 species
CCCACCAAGACGAUGAUCAGUAGCCGGACUGAGAGGUUGAACGGCCACAUUGGGACUGAGAUACGGCCCAGACUCCUACGGGAGGCAGCAGUCGGGAAUAUUGCGCAAUGGAGGAAACUCUGACGCAGUGACGCCGCGUGCAGGAAGAAGGUUUUCGGAUUGUAAACUCCUGUCGUUAGGGACGAUAAUGACGGUACCUAACAAGAAAGCACCGGCUAACUAC